CCCUUCUCUGGGUCGCACCUGGAGAGUUUCCAGUACUCUACCAGUCACGACAACAGGAGGAAGAGUCAAGCCGAGGCAUACCGAUCCCAUUCCUAGCUUGGGCAAUGGCUAGUGAGUGGAAGAUAGUCUGCUGCAAGU